rnacentral:tRNA from 1 species
GAAGUUGUGGCGAAAUGGUAUACGCAUUGGUUUCAAAAACCAAUAACAACAUGUUAUAAGGGUUCGAGUCCCUUCAACUUCA